GAGGGUAUACCUCAGUGGUAGAGUGCAUACUUAGCAUGUAUGAGGUCCUGGGUUCAAUCCCCAGUAUCUCCA
rfam:Camelus ferus unplaced genomic scaffold scaffold1712, whole genome shotgun sequence.